rnacentral:lncRNA from 1 species
GCAACAUUAAAGCUCCCACCCACUAAGAGUAAGGCAUACCUUCAAGCCAAGGAAUAUGUAUCUCGAAUUGGGUUCUUGUCAUAAGAGUUUCAUUGGAAAAGUCUAGAACACCAUGAGACAACCAAUACAUGUUGUCCAUGAGGGCAACGUAUCCUUACUAGAUUGUUUGCUAGCCUAUCCACAUAUCUUCCUAUUGAGC